rnacentral:rRNA from 1 species
AUUGAACGCUGGCGGCAGGCCUAACACAUGCAAGUCGAGCGGAUGAAGGGAGCUUGCUCCUGGAUUCAGCGGCGGACGGGUGAGUAAUGCCUAGGAAUCUGCCUGGUAGUGGGGGAUAACGUCCGGAAACGGGCGCUAAUACCGCAUACGUCCUGAGGGAGAAAGUGGGGGAUCUUCGGACCUCACGCUAUCAGAUGAGCUUAGGUCGGAUUAGCUAGUUGGUGGGGUAAGGGCCUACCAAGGCGACGAUCCGUAACUGGUCUGAGAGGAUGAUCAGUCACACUGGAACUGAGACACGGUCCAUACUCCUACGGGAGGCAGCAGUGGGGAAUGUUGGACAAUGGGCGAAAGCCUGAUCCAGCCAUGCCGCGUGUGUGAAGAAGGUCUUCGGAUUGUAAAGCACUUUAAGUUGGGAGGAAGGGCAGUAAGUUAAUACCUUGCUGUUUUGACGUUACCAACAGAAUAAGCACCGGCUAACUUCGUG